AACGUAGGAGACAAACGUUAUCCGGAGUUACUGGGCGUAAAGGGCGUGUAGGUGGUAGUGUAAGUCUGGCGUGAAAUUUUUCGGCUUAACCGGGAAAGGUCGUCGGAUACUGCACAACUAGAGGACGGUAGAGGCGUGUGGAAUUCCGGGUGUAGUGGUGAAAUGCGUAGAGAUCCGGAAGAACACCAGUGGCGAAGGCGGCCCGCUGGGCAGUGGCUGACGCUGAAGCGCGACAGCGUGGGGAGCA
rnacentral:rRNA from 1 species